rnacentral:rRNA from 1 species
AAUCUGCCUUGAAGUGGGGAAUAACUGCUCGAAAGAGUAGCUAAUACCGCAUGUGGUUAUGUAACAAUAACUAAGCUUCGCAAGAGGUGCUUUGAGAGGAGCCUGCGACUGAUUAGCUAGUUGGUGGGGUAUAGGCUCACCAAGGCCGUGAUCAGUAGCUGGUCUGAGAGGAUGGUCAGCCACACUGGGACUGCGACACGGCCCAG